rnacentral:rRNA from 1 species
GAUGAACGCUGGCGGCGUGCUUAACACAUGCAAGUCGAACGAAGUAUUGACGCUGCAGAGAUUUCGGUCAAAGCUUGUUAAUACUUAGUGGCGGACGGGUGAGUAACGCGUGGGUAACCUGCCGUAUGCAGGGGGACAACAGUUGGAAACGACUGCUAAUACCGCAUAUGCACACAGUACCGCAUGGUACAGUGUUUUAAGAUCUAUCGGCAUACGAUGGACCCGCGUUUGAUUAGAUAGUUGGUGAGGUAACGGCUCACCAAGUCGACGAUCAAUAGCCGGCCUGAGAGGGCAAUCGGCCACAUUGGGACUGAGACACGGCCCAAACUCCUACGGGAGGCAGCAGUGGGGGAAUAUUGCACAAUGGGGGAAACCCUGAUGCAGCGACGCCGCGUGAGUGAAGAAAGUAUUUCGGUAUGUAAAGCUCUAUCAGCAGGGAAGAUGAUGACGGUACCUGACUAAGAAGCCCCGGGCUAACUACGUGCCAGCAGCCGCGGUAUACGUAGGGGCGAGCGUUAUCCCGGAUUUACUGGGGUGUAAAGGGAGCGUAGGCGGCCGUGCAAGUCAGUGGUGAAGCCGGGGCUCCACCCCCGGGACUGGCACUUGGAAACAUAGGCCUGGGGCUUUGGUGUACGGGAGGCAC